GUCUUGGUGGCGCAAUUGGUAAGCGAACCCGCCCGCAGCAUUCAGCAUCUCACAGUUACUAAUUCAAAUCUACAGGUUAGCGCGUACGACUGUUAAUCGUGAGGUUGAGAGUUCGAUCCUCUCCUAGGACG